rnacentral:rRNA from 1 species
CGAAAAGUACUAUACAAUUAAAUAAAAUAGGUAGAAACAAAAGAAUAGCGAAGAAGAAGCAAAUGCGCUUCACGCUAAUUCCAAGUACCAACACAAAACAAAUUCAAUGUUUGGUGAAGCAACUUGCUUAGUGGCGGACGGGUGAGUAACGCGUGAACAAUCUGCCCCGUACAAAGGGAUAGCCUCGGGAAACCGGGAUUAAAACCAUAUAACACUUAACUGCCGCAUGGUAGUGAAGUCAAAUCGAUUAAGAGGUAUGGGAUGAGUUCGCGUCUGAUUAGCUAGUUGGUGAGGUAAGGGCUCACCAAGGCGACGAUCAGUAGCCGGCCUGAGAGGGUGAACGGCCACACUGGAACUGAGACACGGUCCAGACUCCUACGGGAGGCAGCAGUGGGGAAUAUUGCACAAUGGAGGGAACUCUGAUGCAGCGACGCCGCGUGAGUGAAGAAGGUCUUCGGAUCGUAAAACUCUGUCCUUGGUGAAGAAAAGGACGGUAGCCAAGGAGGAAGCCCCGGCUAACUACGUG